CGGCGGCGCCAGUUUGUGGGUGCUGGCCGGCAAGGAUCCGGCGACGUACAAGGGUGUCGCGAAAUUCCUCGCGUUCCUCGCGUCGCCGCCGA
rnacentral:tRNA from 1 species